GGACGGGUGGCAGAGCGGCUGAAUGCACCGCACUCGAAAUGCGGCAUACUCGUUAGGGUAUCGGGAGUUCAAAUCUCCCCCCGUCCGCCA
rnacentral:tRNA from 1 species